UAUUUUUUAGAAAAAAUAAUUUAUUAUUCUUACAUUUUUGCCUCUAUUCUUCUUUUAUCUAUCUUAUCUUUUUAUUUUUAUUUUUUUUUACUUUUUUUAUGUUUCAUUUUUAAAUUUCCUUCCUUAUUUUUUAUAUAUUUUUGAUAAUUCUUUUAUUCAGCUUAAUUAAAAUUUAUAUUUAAUACAAAUAAUUUAACUUAUUUAAAAAUUAUUUAUAUAUUUUAAAUUUUUAUAAAAAUAAAUAAAAAUUUAGAUUGAAUUAAAAAAAUUUAUAAAUUUUUUUAAUCAUAUAUUAAGAGAACAAAUAUAUAAAAAAAAUUAAAG
rnacentral:lncRNA from 1 species